rnacentral:rRNA from 1 species
GACGAACGCUGGCGGCGUGCUUAACACAUGCAAGUCGAACGGUGAAGCGCCUUCCUUUUUGGUGGGUGUGGAUGAGUGGCGAACGGGUGAGUAACACGUGAGUAACCUGCCCCCUUCUUCUGGAUAACCGCAUGAAAGUGUGGCUAAUACGGGAUAUUCUGGGUCUGUCGCAUGAUGGGUCUGGGAAAGAUAUUGUUUCGGUGGGGGAUGGGCUCGCGGCCUAUCAGCUUGUUGGUGGGGUGAUGGCCUACCAAGGCGGUGACGGGUAGCCGGCCUGAGAGGGUGGACGGUCACACUGGGACUGAGACACGGCCCAGACUCCUACGGGAGGCAGCAGGGGGGAAUAUUGCACAAUGGGCGCAAGCCUGAUGCAGCGACGCCGCGUGAGGGAUGGAGGCCUUCGGGUUGUGAUCCUCUUUCGCCAGUGAAGCAGGCCUGCCUCGUUUGUGGGUGGGUUGACGGUAGCUGGAGAAGAAGCGCCGGCUAACUACGUG